AGAGUUUGAUCCUGGCUCAGAUUGAACGCUGGCGGUAUGCUUAACACAUGCAAGUCGAACGGUAACAGCAGAGCUUGCUCUGGCUGACGAGUGGCGGACGGGUGCGUAACGCGUGGGAAUCUACCUUUAGUGGGGGAUAGCCCGGAGAAAUCCGGAUUAAUACCGCAUAAGCCCUACGGGGGAAAAGGGGCCUCUUCUUGAAAGCUCUUGCUAUUACAUGAGCCCGCGUAAGAUUAGCUAGUUGGUGGGGUAAUGGCCUACCAAGGCAACGAUCUUUAGCUGGUCUGAGAGGAUGAUCAGCCACACUGGGACUGAGACACGGCCCAGACUCCUACGGGAGGCAGCAGUGGGGAAUAUUGGACAAUGGGCGGAAGCCUGAUCCAGCAAUACCGCGUGUGUGAAGAAGGCCUGAGGGUUGUAAAGCACUUUCAAUAGCGACGAAAAGCCUAAAGUUAAUAACUUUGGGUCAUUGACUUAAACUAUAGAAGAAGCAC
rnacentral:rRNA from 1 species